rnacentral:misc_RNA from 1 species
AGAGAGCAAGUGGCGUUGUGGGGUAGAGUCACAAGGACUGUGAGUGAUAGAAAUCAAAGAGAGACCGACUGACUGUGCCUUUGAGUCAUGGCAGCGGCUUAAUGCGGUCGGUCGUUGACAAUCCAGGUUUCGUACCCACGUGGCCUGCAACUUGUUUCGCCUCUCUGCUCUUAUAUAAACCAACGUUCAAUUCCUCUCACUGCAUCCCUCAAUUUAUUUCACUGCCAUCCAAGAGAAGAGCGUCUGUGAUUUAUAAGCAGACUCUUCUUAUCUCUUCCUUUCUUGAAGGACAAAAGAAAAAAAUAAGGAUCUGAAUCCAUUUGGUUUUGGUGAUUCUUGGGAGAAGGUGUAGUUCUCUGCAGGCUUAACACCACACUAGCCCUUGAUCCCUUUAGACAAGAAGACCCAUCAUUUUCUUUCAAUAUAUAUUAUUCUUUCCAGAAUAUAAUUCAUAUACAGUGUACAGAAUUUCAUAUUUCUUACGCUCGUUUGUGUUUGGAAUCUUUCUUUAAAUGCCCUGUUCGAAGAUGGCUGAGAACGCUGCUACAAAGAACCAUUUUCCUCCCCAGGUUUUCAGUGUCUCUGUUGACAUGCCUUCUCAAGGUGGCUCCAAGUGGUUUGAUGAUGAUGGACGCGUCAGGCGCACUGGAACUGUUUGGACUGCGAGCGCUCACAUUAUAACAGCUGUGAUUGGGUCU